ensembl:lncRNA
GAAUACUCUCUGUGCUGCCAGGUGCUGUCGGGACAGAUUUUCCCGUGGUAGCGGCAUCGCAGGAACAUGUGUCCCCACGGCUUUUUCUGCGGCCGCCCCCUCUGCCGACACGCUGGCGUAUAUAUGAAGCAUGAGUGGCCAAAAGCUGCCGCACACAGGCUGAGGAGGACCCGCGGCACCUGCAGCAGAGCAGUUGAACCCAGCUAUGAUGUAAGUCAGAUCUUCCAGUGGCUGGUGGCCAGUGCCGACUGGGACAGCUUCCAGCCUCAGAGGACUGCGAUUAACCCAGGAGCGGUCAAACUCGGCAGGACGCCCUCCACAACCAGCCACAGCUAUUUAUCCACUUUCCAAUGAAACCAAUUACUUUUACAGCAAGCCCCAGCGCCAACAUUAUAUGUGUUGUUCUUGCAGACCAAAAGAGUAUGGCUUUGAAAAGAGAGCCAGGCAUGAAGUAGGAAACCCUCCUGAGCUGCUCCAGCAGGCUGUAAAAUAUACCUAAAGUCAGUAUCCAUGGAGACUAGCUGGUGUGUGAGAGCAGCCUGAAGGAUACACGUGGAUAUUAUUACUAUUGCUAUUUACUGUUCUUUGUCUUUUACUUGUUAUUGUAGAGUGUUAGUUUUUACACAGUUUCCUCUGGGAUUAAUACAUGAUUCCGAUUCUGAGUAAUAGUGUUGGAGUUGCUACAAAUUUCCUUCAUGUAGCUACCAGAAGAAAUGUUUUUAAUGUAAAUCUGCUUACACCUUGCUUAUAUUUAUUUAUAUGUUUUACAAUGUGCUUAUUGCAGGACAUCACAGCUUUUAACAAAUUCUGAUAUUUUAGCUUCUUUUUUGAAAAUUAAAUUUCAACAGUUGUAAAAGUCACAGCAUGUUAACUUCAUAGAACUUUUUCAGUCAUUUUCAUCUUCUUUUCACUAUGAAAAUGACCUUGCAGAAACAGAGGGAAAUGCAAGCGCAAGGGCUUUUCUACAAAAAUUGUAUAAGAAAAAUCUAGAAAACAUCCAGUUAUUGUUUGACACAUUAAGGACGCAUUACUUCUUCCAUUAACAUUGAGCUGUAGUCAAGUGAUUAUAUGACUCACAAAUGCACAGAAAAUACUGCAACCAACACUGCAAAGUGCUGACAAACACAGUAAACCAAAUAGCUUAUAUAAUACAAACCAACCACAAUGGUUGCCCAGGGUAACAUGUUCACAUUGCUUUUGGCAACUGACUUGCUCUGAAAAAUACCCAAAGAUGUUGAGUGCACUGCAGUCUUACAAAUGUUAACUUCUGAGAAUCUGUGACUAAAGAUCAUUUCUGCUUUGUUUGGUGCUGAUUAGCAUUUUCCUUUACUGCUGAACGAAAAUCUAAUGAAGCUCCAUUUAAGGCUUUUGGAGGGCUUUUCUUGACAUUAGAAUCCACAGGCUAACAGUAAAAUGAGGGGGCAUAUUUUUUGAAUUAUGUUGACAAGGUUGUUUUUUUUCUGCAUCUGUCCAAUAAAUGUCAUGUUAAAGUGUUGUUAUUAGGUUACUAGUCGUAAGUAAGGAAAGGACGAGGACAGCAGACUCAGUUAAUAAAGCAGUCAUAUCACUGAUCGCUGGCUGGGCUAAUUGACAGACACAUGAAGAGAAAACUACUAAUUGAUUAUAGGCUUGUCCUAUUCUAGCGCAGGAGGUGACUGAUGGAAAAUGUGAAUUGGCCUGAGAGAUGCUUUAUGCCUAUGUCUACAUUUGGAUUUCUGUUUCGAUGAAAAACUUUCUGCACAGUGCUUUCUGCUUGAAAUUUCUACGUUCUUUAAGGUGCAAUAAAAAAAGUGGUGGUUUUUAUAGUUAUUUGUGUGUCUUGACAGUUGUGCUGUCACUUAGCAGAGGGUCUCCAGGCUUUCUAAUACAGUCCCACUGAGCUUAUAUCCAAAAGAAGUAUUUACUUUUAACCAAGUGAAGCCUGAACCAUGAAAUGUUUUUUUGAAACUGGGAUGUUUACUGAGCCUUCUGACCAAUAAAAAAUAAAUAAAUAAAUGAAAUAUCAGUUUACAUAUAUGAGCAUUGAUUUGCAUAAAUUCUGCUACAUCUGACUGUAUACAUCAGGCUUUUCAGGAAAAAUUAUACUAAGUAGGGGUCCCACAAACCCAUGUAUAAAACACGAUACUCUUGGCUUUACAGGAUCAGCUUUUCUAUUCUAAUCUGGUUUGAAUGUAGAGAACAGUGUAACUGCACAGCAUGGCCAUCACUG